rnacentral:rRNA from 1 species
UUAACUGGAGGAAGGUGGGGAUGACGUCAAAUCAUCAUGCCCCUUAUGACCUGGGCUACACACGUGCUACAAUGGACAGAACAAAGGGCUGCGAGACCGCAAGGUUUAGCCAAUCCCAUAAAUCUGUUCUCAGUUCGGAUCGCAGUCUGCAACUCGACUGCGUGAAGCUGGAAUCGCUAGUAAUCGCGGAUCAGCAUGCCGCGGUGAAUACGUUCCCGGGCCUUGUACACACCGCCCGUCACACCACGAGAGUUUGUAACACCCGAAGUCGGUGAGGUAACCUUUAUGGAGCCAGCCGCCGAAGGUGGGACAGAUGAUUGGGGGAAGUCGUAACAAGGAUGCCUUGAGAG